rnacentral:lncRNA from 1 species
UUUUAUUUUCUCGUCCUUCAUUGAAAUAGAAAUGGCUAUUUCUGUAUUUUCUCAUGUGUAUAUAAUCAUCUGCACUGAGGAUAUCUGUCACUCGACACAUUGUUCUCGACGAUUACAAUUAGAAAUGCAAAACAUGAGGCAAAGAGGCAGGUGUACGUACUCAAGUAACAGAAUUUUUCAUCAUCAUCGUGGUGGUAUAUUACAAUCAGCUGGGAGCAACCGGCCAAUUACGUCUCCGGCCAUGGUUGCUAAUUAACCCCAGUAGAGAAGAUCCAUCGCUCCGAUCGAGCUACUACUACACUGAUGGCCUAGCUAAUUGGGACCCCAGCAGCUGAGGUACAUGACCGUCCUCAGCCCCUCCUCGGCCUUCUCCGCUCGCCUCCGCUCCGCCGCCGCCGCCGCCGAAGAAGGCAGCUUCUUGGCCUGCGAGGCGCCGGCGCGCGCGUUGGCCUUGGCGGCGCGGUGGAUGGACCGCAGCGCGUAGUUCCAGCGGCAGAGCCCCGCCUGGUCCUUGAGCGCCUCCACCGCGCCCACGCUCAUCGCCACCAUCCACGACGCCUUCGCUGCACCCGCCAUUGACGACACCGAUCGCUGGUGGUGUACUACCGAUCUGUGAAGCCUUCUUCGCUUUGCAGUGAGCUGAAUUGAUGCUGUGUUGGAUUGAGGAGAGGGUCGAGGGGGUGGAGCCGGGGCUUUAUACCGAGAGGGGCGGGGCGAAACAGGAGGCGCGCGCGCGUUGGUUUUUCCCGGGAUACCGGCGGUUCCACCGCGGCACUCGUCGCUUUCCGCUCGGGUUGGUGGCUCGCUCGGCCAGGGGUAUCACACGCGCGGCGCCCACCACGUCUCGUCCAGCUAAGCGAGAACCCGCCGGGCCUAGGAGGGGAGGAGGUGCUUUUGCUGCGUGCGGCUGGGCCAUGCCAUGCGUGCAGUGAUAGGAUAGGAUUGAACGAGUAGGACUGUACGAGUGGCCGAGUGGGUGAGAAGGAUGCGUGCCACUUGCAGGUGGGUCCCACGAAAGCAGUGGCUAGUCCUAAAACGAGGCGGGUUUACCGGGGUGGACGAGUUUGUCAGUUGAGAACUUUUUUUUUUCAUUUCAUUUCGUAUAUGAACAACUUAAUUUUUCGGUUUAAGCGCAUAGGUUAACAUCAUUGUCUUUUUCGUUUAUUAUUGUGUUUAUAAGCUAAAUUUUGAUUUUUUAACUUAAAUUUAAAAUUGAUUUUAUAGUUUUCAUCGUAGUUUACUUUUUAUUAUUAGUUUUUAAAAUCAUUAAGAACCUAUAUAUAAAAUUUAAUUUAUAGAUUAUUUUUUAUAAAUAUACCUUUUGAUAAUCACCCCGCUAAGGUCUGCCGAUUUAUCUUUUGCUAGUCUAGUAGUGCUGCUAAUUUAAGCCUGGGUCGUUUUUGAAGGCUGUAAUUUUUUGCGAGUGAUUGUAAUAUUGUAUCCCUUUCGUGCACUCACUCGGUGCUGCAAACUGUUAACCGCUGGGUCGAAUUGGGAUGCGUGUUGAGGUGUUUUGCUGGUGAGUGGUGACUGUGAGAGCGGAGUUAUGGGAGGUGGCAUGGAAAACCAGAGGCUCGAGGACAUGGUUUUCCAAUAUACCGGGUGCGAGACUGCCAGUGCGCGAACAGAGACAACAGCACUGGAGGACAUAUGUCACUCAAUCAGUGUCAUGGUCCGGGACUCUCCUGUCCUGUCUCCUCCAGCCUCCAACCCUCCGUAGCUCCAGGCUGUAUACUCCAGCCUCCAACCCUAUAGUUCAUGCUUGCGGCAAGGACGUUUGACGUUUAGAGUAUUUAUUAUAAAUUUUAAACGCAGAAUAUUUAUACCACUAAUGAUAUAAAUAAGAGCAAAUUCGUCGAUAAACUUUUAAGUCUAAUAAUUCGUGCGAUAAAUUUUUAAGUCUAAUUAAUCUAUAAUUAACUUAUAUUUACAGUAAUAUCAUAUAAGCUAAUUAAUUAGACUCAAUAGAUUCGUUUCUAAAUUAAUCUAAGAUUAUAGAUGGGUUUUAUUAAUAAUCUACGUUUAAUAUUACCAUAAGUGUCUAAACAUCCGCCGAUUUAAUAGGGACUAACCACCCAACACCACCUUAUACAUGAUUAACUGCGUCAAAGAACUUGUCAUCUAAUCAAUUUUAUUUGCCUUCGAUAUUCAGUAUAUAUCCACUUGGAUUUGGAUAUAGAGAUGGAUAGAAAUAACCAUCUCCAACAAAAAUAAAAAAAAUGCCUUCAAUAAUCUUUUCUUAGCACUCUCUCGUUAUAUUUCUGACAACUUUGGUGUUGAUCGCUUGAAAGCACCCAUAUCCCCAAGCUAACAUAGUAACAUGAAUGAUGAAUUUCAGAAAUGCAAAUGGAUCUAUGAGACAGACAAAUAUACUCAAGUAACAGAAGUUAUCAUCAUCAUCAUCAUCAUCGAGGUAUUUUACAAUCAGGAGGCAACCGGCCGAGUUCUCAGGCCAUGGCUGCUGCCGCAUACUCCUAAGCUAAUACUCCCAACAUCGAGCAGCAACAUACACUAAUUGGGACCCCAGCAGCUGAGGUACAUGACCGUCCUCAGCCCCUCCUCGGCGUUCUCCGCUCUCCUCCGCUCCGCCACCGCCGCCGCGGGCAGCUUCUUGCCCUGCGAUGCUCCGCCGGCGUUGGCCUUGGCGGCGCGGUGGAUGGACCGCAGCGCGUAGUUCCAGCGGCAGAGCCCCGCCUGGUCCUUGAGCGCCUCCACCGCGCCCACGCUCAUCGCCACCAUCCACGACGCCUUCGCUGCACCCGCCAUUGGGCUUGAGAUUGAGAAUUGGAUCAAACUCGAUCCGUAGCUUGGUUUUUCUUGUAGCAGUGAGUACUGAGACUGGACAACUGAUGCUGUGUAGCCUGUGUUGAUGAAGAACGGGAGGGAGAGGGGGCCUGAUUAUAUAGAGGAGGGGUGGAAGGGAGGACGGGUUGGGCGAAACAGGAGGCGCCGCGCGUUGGUUUCCCGGGAUACCGGGUGCUUGUUUACGCCGGAAUUCGCUUCCGUCCAGGCUCGGUGGCCCCCGUGGCGAUGCAGCCCACCUCAUCCCGAGUUGUCUUUGUUCGAGGUAUGGAAGCUGGUUGUCUGUUGCGAGGAGCCCACCUCCACAUGGGCAGUGUAACCGACAAGGACGCGUGUCGCUGCAGAUGCCACGCAGGGUUGGUCCCGUAUGGGCCGAAUCAUUUGGUUUACGAAUCUUAUAGCCCGAUCAAAUGGUAAACGGUGUCUAUAGCUAGAUCUAUUGCUCUAUCUUUUGGGUUGGUUGAUCCGUCGCUGCAUUAAUUAAGUAUUUCAUCACACGGUAUAUAAUGGUAGAAUAGCGUAUGAUAUAUCAAGUGUUAAGAGACUUCUUUGUUAAAUACUUUUGUAAAAAGUAUUUAGCCAGACGGAAAUUAUGUGUGUGGAAAAAAAAGGGAAGUAAACGUUUCUAUGGGUACACAGCCUAAUGCAGCAUAAGAGUUGUAGUUGCACCUUUUUCUAUAUGAAGUAACGACCGUGCAGCCACUUUUAAUUACUUACACAAAGAUAAGACUUUUUUCUUAUGUUUAUAAACCUAAAUUUAUAUUUUAUUAAUUUUAUAGUUAAUAUUAACACACAUAAAAUGUUGUCCAUAAUUUUUUAUUUAAAAAUGUAUCAAUUGGCUUUUCUCAUGUACUCCCUUCGUCCCAAAAUAAACCAAUCUUUCACCUUUUAGGAAUAAUGUUUGAAGUUUCGUCUUAUUAAAAAUACAAUUAAUAUUUUUGUUUUUAUUAGAUAAUAAACCAUAAAUAGUACUUUAUGUGUGAUUAAUUUUUUCUAAUUUUUUAGUUUUUUAAAAAUAAGACGGAUGAUCAAAUAAUUUUUUAAAUAAAACAGAUGAUCAAACUCUAAACACAGAUGGUCAAAAGUUUAGCUUAUUUUUGGGCAAAGGGAGUAUAACCUUACGGAAUCAGAUGAUCAGAUUAUGAUUGCUGCACACUCUUUUUCAUCAAGUUUCAAGCACACGGGCGCUGCGACCUGCAAGUGCAAUCUUUCCUUGCCUUUCUGAUCGAGCUGAGUGACAGCGGAGUUGUGGGAGGUUGCCGAGCAAGUGGGCAGGGCAAACCAGAGGCUGGAGCACAUGGUUUUCCAAGAUAUCAGGUGCGGCACGCCUGCACCUGCACUGCAUACUUCUCGUCUCAGCGUCUUGCGACCCCUGCGCUUUGUGCGCGAUGACUUUGAUCCAGUUCCUCCGAGUGAAUAUCGUUUAGACUAAACUGUAUUUGUUGCAUCAGAUUAAUUUGAUCGACAAAUUUUGGGAAGCAAGGGAACAGAAGGAAAUGCUCACAUAGGCUCUGAAAAUAGAUUGAUGACACCUCAUUUGUUGGCUCCGUCGUUCUAUGCUUACUGAUCGCAAUUGAGCCGCCGGGAUGGGUAAUUAAGCAAACCAGAAAAAAGAAUUAAACAGGUCUUCAAUGGUGAAAGCAGGCGAUGGAACCCGCGCUUUGACGGUAAGCCGAGGUGCCCCCCUGCCAGAUAGUAGUAUCAUCCUACGAGCGCUAGCGUUCUUCUUUUUCUAUGUUUAUUUCCACCCUGCUGUUCUCCGCUCUUGUAAGUUACAGCACUUAUAAUACAAAGAUAGAAAAAAAAAUGACUGAUCGUGAUCCCAUAGUCAAUUCAGCAUGGAUGUGAAUCAGUGAAUAUUUAAUUCCGUAGCCACAGUGCAGGGUUCAGAAUCGUCUCAUUUCUGUCAGGACAAGCAAGUUCUUCCUGUUUAAGAACGAAAUCAGGUACUACUACCAAGGAAGAACUUAUCACGAUCUCAAAGCAUUAGGGCCAUGACACAACAAUUAUACUCAAGUACCAGAAGCUUUCACCAUUAUCAUCAUCAUCGUGGUAUAUACAAUCAAGCAGGAACAGGCAACCGGCAAGUCUCAAGCCAUGGUUACCACUUCCAAGCCCGACUCCUAUAGCUAGCGAGUAGCGACCAAAGCUAUGCUAAUUUGUACCCCAGCAGCUGAGGUACAUGACCGUCCUCAACCCCUCCUCGGCUCUCUCCGCCCUCCUCCACUCCGCCGCCGCCGCCGCAGAAGCAGGCAUCUUCUUGGC